rnacentral:lncRNA from 1 species
UGUUGUGCAUCUGUGCAGCUGCCAGACAGCCCUGCCUUUGGCUUUCCAUGGGCUGCUGUGGGUUGGGUCUUCUUGGGUGCGAAGUGCUGUGAGGAAUCUUGUCUGCUAUCGUAGCACACUAGCAGGUACCAAGUGCAUCAUGCUAAAGUAAGAUAUAGCUGUUGCCCACAUUUUUCCAAGCAAGAGGGAAGUUUUUCUGGAGAACUGCUGGCUCCAACUGUCCUUCCUCUGGGCAUCCAGAUACAUCAAACUGAAGCACGAAAUGACAGCAUCAAUGGAGAACCUGAGGCAAGCUCUACUCCUUUUUGCCCUCCUCCUAAUUCUCUUGCCUGCUUUAU